rnacentral:rRNA from 1 species
GACGAACGCUGGCGGCGUGCUUAACACAUGCAAGUCGAACGGAGUGGCGAACGGGUGAGUAACGCGUGGGUGAUCUGCCUUGCACUUCGGGAUAAGCUUGGGAAACUGUGUCUAAUACCGGAUAGUGCAAGAUGAGCUGGCGGCCUAUCAGCUUGUUGGUUGGGUAAUGGCCUACCAAGUCGCCGACGUGAAGCCGGCCUGAGAGGGGGUACGGCCACAUUGGGAUUGAGAUACCGCCCAGACUGCUACGGGAGGCAGCAGUGGGGAAUAUUGCACAAUGGGCGGAGGGCUGAAGCAGCGACGCCGCGUGGGGGAUGAAGGCCUUCGGGUUGUAACCUCCUUUCGACAGGGACGCGGUACCUGUAUAAGAAGCACCGGCUAACUACGUGCCAGCAGCCGCGGUAAUAC